rnacentral:rRNA from 1 species
AUUGAACGCUGGCGGCAUGCUUUACACAUGCAAGUCGAACGGCAGCGCGGGCUUCGGCCUGGCGGCGAGUGGCGAACGGGUGAGUAAUACAUCGGAACGUGCCCAGUAGUGGGGGAUAGCUCGGCGAAAGCCGGAUUAAUACCGCAUACGACCUGAGGGUGAAAGCGGGGGAUCUUCGGACCUCGCGCUAUUGGAGCGGCCGAUGGCAGAUUAGCUAGUUGGUGGGGUAAAGGCCUACCAAGGCGACGAUCUGUAGCUGGUCUGAGAGGACGACCAGCCACACUGGGACUGAGACACGGCCCAGACUCCUACGGGAGGCAGCAGUGGGGAAUUUUGGACAAAGGGCGAAAGCCUGAUCCAGCAAUGCCGCGUGUGUGAUGAAGGCCUUCGGGUUGUAAAGCACUUUUGGCGGGAACGAAAAGGACUGGGCCAAUACCACGGUUCGAUGACGGUACCCGCAGAAUAAGCACCGGCUAACUACGUG